rnacentral:rRNA from 1 species
CCCGGUUUCUUGGUCUUGAGUAUCCUACUCGGAUAACUGUGGCAAUUCUAGAGCUAAUACGUGCAAUAAGGCUCGGACCUUUUGGGAAGAGCGCAUUUAUUAGACCAAAACCAAUCGGGCUUCGGCCUGAGCUUUGGUGACUCUGAAUAACUAAGCUGAUCGCACGGUCUUAGUACCGGCGACGCAUCUUUCAAAUGUCUGCCUUAUCAACUUUCGAUGGUAGGUUAUGCGCCUACCAUGGUUGUAACGGGUAACGGAGAAUAAGGGUUCGACUCCGGAGAGGGAGCCUGAGAAACGGCUACCACAUCCAAGGAAGGCAGCAGGCGCGCAAAUUACCCACUCCCGGCACGGGGAGGUAGUGACGAAAAAUAAC